rnacentral:rRNA from 1 species
AAUAGAUACCCAGGUAGUCCACGCCGUAAACGAUGAGUGCUAAGUGUUAGAGGGCUUCCACCCUUUAGUGCUGCAGCUAACGCAUUAAGCACUCCGCCUGGGGAGUACGGCCGCAAGGCUGAAACUCAAAGGAAUUGACGGGGGCCCGCACAAGCGGUGGAGCAUGUGGUUUAAUUCGAAGCAACGCGAAGAACCUUACCAGGUCUUGACAUCCUUCGCUACCUCUAGAGAUAGAGGGUUCCCCUUCGGGGGACGGAGUGACAGGUGGUGCAUGGUUGUCGUCAGCUCGUGUCGUGAGAUGUUGGGUUAAGUCCCGCAACGAGCGCAACCCUUGACCUUAGUUGCCAGCAUUCAGUUGGGCACUCUAAGGUGACUGCCGGUGACAAACCGGAGGAAGGUGGGGAUGACGUCAAAUCAUCAUGCCCCUUAUGACCUGGGCUACACACGUGCUACAAUGGAUGGUACAAAGGGUCGCGAAACCGCGAGGUGGAGCUAAUCCCAAAAAACCAUUCUCAGUUCGGAUUGCAGGCUGCAAC